CAGAUUGUAGUUUAUAGAAAAUAAUUCAUUUACGUUGAAUAGAUUUUAGUGCAAUUCUUUAGGUUCUGA
rnacentral:tRNA from 1 species